UACGGAGGGGACUAGCGUUGUUCGGAAUUACUGGGCGUAAAGCGCACGUAGGCGGAUUUGUAAGUCAGGGGUGAAAUCCCGGGGCUCAACCUCGGAACUGCCUUUGAUACUGCAAAUCUCGAGUCCGGAGGAGGUGAGUGGAAUUCCUAGUGUAGAGGUGAAAUUCGUAGAUAUUAGGAAGAACACCAGUGGCGAAGGCGGCUCACUGGUCCGGUACUGACGCUGAGGUGCGAAAGCGUGGGGAGCAAACAGG
rnacentral:rRNA from 1 species